CCAUAUGCUAAAUAACAAGUUAAACCGAUAAGAGCACAUGACAUUAUUUAUAUGAAAAACGCCAAAUCCAAUUUAAAAAAAAAAAGAAAAAAAAGAUUAUUACAUAGCUGUCUUUCUGUCAGACGGAACACUACUUCUAACACAUCUAAACACCUAGGUUUCCCUCUUACAAAUAUCUGCCAAAAGCUAAAGAUUAACAAAAAGAAAAGAAAAAGGUUCAAAACAUCUAAAGAAGAAUACUACAUUAACACUUUAUAAGGUCGAAAACACAACAGGCAGAUUUGAUUAUCUUUUCCACUGUCAAAAGAACACUAAACACUAUGUACUGCAGAAUAGGUACACCCAGAAUGGUGACAAAAAUCACACAAGUUAACAUGACAAAUAUCUCAAGAGAAGAGACUUACAUUGACGAGGGAAACUU